GAGUGUCGACACCCCCUGCAUCUUCUGUAUGAGCACUUCAAGCCUGCCCUGAGUUGCACAGACCUGAAGAAAACCAUGAAAAGCUCGCUGAUAUUAUGAAUGAUGCAACAAAAAAAGUGAAGACGUAAUUUAAGUAAUGGAGAAGUUAUACAUGCUGAAGUCUGGUUGUGUCAAUUUGGAUAUUAUUGUGAUGUUCUGGUAGUCAGCCGUUUGUGUGGUUUACAGUUUAUGUGUGAAAUCAGAGAGCAUGUGAGACACGAGACUGUCAAAAAAAGGACAUUUGGAAUGUUGGAGACGAAUGCCUCGAUCGAUUGUAAUGCAGCCAGUGUUCGUGCAGCACUUAUGAACUACUUUGUAUGGUUAAAUUGAACUUUGCCUACUGUGAACUGUGAUUUUUUUUCCAAGUCCGUCUGUGUGCUACACUGCUUUGUGUGAUCAAACUGCAAUACAAGUUUCAACAUGCCAGCAUUUAUUAUUGGUAAACUUUCUAAAGAUUUAUGUAAAUGUAAUGUUAAACAAUGUAUGAAAUUGUAUUUUUAAAAUGACUGAUGUAAAUAUAUAUUGAUGAUUUUAAUUUCAA